rnacentral:rRNA from 1 species
GACGAACGCUGGCGGCGUGCUUAACACAUGCAAGUCGAGCGGUAAGGCCCUUUCGGGGGUACACGAGCGGCGAACGGGUGAGUAACACGUGGGUGACCUGCCCUUAGCUCUGGGAUAAGCCUGGGAAACUGGGUCUAAUACCGGAUAUGACUCCAUGACGCAUGUUGUGGGGUGGAAAGCCUUGUGCGGCUAGGGAUGGGCCCGCGGCCUAUCAGCUUGUUGGUGGGGUGAUGGCCUACCAAGGCGACGACGGGUAGCCGGCCUGAGAGGGCGACCGGCCACACUGGGACUGAGACACGGCCCAGACUCCUACGGGAGGCAGCAGUGGGGAAUCUUGCGCAAUGGGCGAAAGCCUGACGCAGCGACGCCGCGUGGGGAUGACGGCCUCGGUGUAAC